CGUGGAAAUCGUAAUAUGAGAUACCCACGGUAUUUCUAAUACAAUAUGAAAUAACAUAUGCUCCUAUGUCAUAUAUAGUGAAAAUCGUCGUUA